rnacentral:rRNA from 1 species
CGAACGCGUCUUGGUUAUUGAUGUUAAGUGCCUGCAUUUAAUUGAUUUAACAUUGAGACGAGUGGCGAACUGGUGAGUAACACGUGGGUAACCUGCCCUUGAAGUAGGGGAUAACACUUGGAAACAGGUGCUAAUACCGUAUAACAACCAAAACCACCUGGUUUUGGUUUAAAAGAUGGCUUCGGCUAUCACUUUAGGAUGGACCCGCGGCGUAUUAGCUUGUUGGUAAGGUAACGGCCUACCAAGGCAAUGAUACGUAGCCGACCUGAGAGGGUAAUCGGCCACAUUGGGACUGAGACACGGCCCAAACUCCUACGGGAGGCAGCAGUAGGGAAUCUUCCACAAUGGACGAAAGUCUGAUGGAGCAACGCCGCGUGAGUGAUGAAGGGUUUCGGCUCGUAAAACUCUGUUGUUGGAGAAGAACAGGUGUGAGAGUAACUGUUCACAUCUUGACGGUAUCCAACCAGAAAGCCACGGCUAACUACGUGCCAGCAGCCGCGGUAAUACGUAGGUGGCAAGCGUUGUCCGGAUUUAUUGGGCGUAAAGCGAGCGCAGGCGGUUUCUUAGGUCUGAUGUGAAAGCCUUCGGCUUAACCGGAGAAGUGCAUCGGAAACCAGGAGACUUGAGUGCAGAAGAGGACAGUGGAACUCCAUGUGUAGCGGUGAAAUGCGUAGAUAUAUGGAAGAACACCAGUGGCGAAGGCGGCUGUCUGGUCUGUAACUGACGCUGAGGCUCGAAAGCAUGGGUAGCGAACAGGAUUAGAUACCCUGGUAGUCCAUGCCGUAAACGAUGAGUGCUAAGUGUUGGAGGGUUUCCGCCCUUCAGUACUGCAG